CGUCACUCAGGCACGUCAUCAACAGAAAUAACAGGAGAGUGGAAAAUAUAAUAUGACACCUCAUAUGGAUCAGAUCAGCUCAUAUUAGACUGUAGUGAUGCAGGUGUUGUGUACGGUGGCACCGGCGGCAGGUGAGAGCAAUCCGGUGCACCUGUAGAAACAGGAACAGGUGUGCCAGGACCAAUCGGUCAUCGACCUCUACACCAUUUAUUGGGACUCCAGUCAUCAGUUCGACGCCGGAUCGUGAAUGCUCACAGUCAGUCUGUCACUCGUUCUCUCUAGCCUAGCUUGUAGUAUUUAAUCUUUUAGUAAUUCUGCCUUUGCUCUUUUCAGUUCGGACCCCACCUGCUCUGCUGACUGAGCCAUCUUGCCAACUGGACUCAUCAAAGCCCUGCGUUCCAAGCCGACUUCCGGAUCACUCCGUCACUCUUCAGUCCUCCGUCCAAAUCUCCAUCUGCUGUCGCUGCCGAGAACACCAGCUCCUGCCCUCAGCACAUUAGCCUCAACACGAGCAGUUUCUAGUUUUGUUGUUAGAGUUUCGUUUGUCCUUGGUCUUGGAUUGUUUGUGGUACUGGCUAACUGAUUUACCCGGUACUUUUGUUAGUAGAUGUAGUUUAUAGUGUAAUGAUUGCGAACUUCGUUUUCAGUGAGCUACGUGUUUCAUAGCCUCGAGUUCCACCUUAGUUUAGUAUAGCUUGUGGCUUCUUAGUUAUAGUUCAUUCUCUGUAUGUAGUGAUCAUAGUUGCGCCUUUGCUUCGAGUUAUCCCUAGUUUGGUGUGCUUAGGUGCUCAACUAAUCUUCAGCAUUAGCAAUCAUAGUUCUUAACUCUCCUGCCCAGGUUGUGCCUGCCGUGGGUCAGUUCUUUGUUUCGAGAAUUGUAGUUCGUACCGCCCGCCAUUAGGGGCACUCUAGCUCUGAAGUUGAGUUACGAUAUUUGUUUCCUUUUCUGGAUACUAGACCUUAGGGCAUUGUAGUCCCCG
ensembl:lncRNA